UUUAUUUUAUUACACCGAGCUAUCACAGCUAACAUUGUUUUAUUUUUUGGCUAAAUUAAGCCAACUAUUCGAAGCAUUCAUGUUGUGACAUGCCGUGACUAAAACCAUGUAUUUAUUGGCUUUUAGUUGCCAGGGUUAACAAGGAAACGCGUUAGCCUCCCUACAUUUGGAAAGGUGACAUGUUAACAGACAA
rfam:Colwellia psychrerythraea 34H, complete genome.